GACUGUGACUAGUCUGAAUUUUAAUGAAGCCAACAGUAAGGGAACUGUUCCCUUAGGGUUUUCAGAAGGCACUUUAACACAAAUCAUACUGUUAUGGAAAAAAUAUAUUGAAUAAAGUCUAUUAAACGGGGAACAAAUAGUUUAUUUUCUAUCUUUUCAUUCACAUCUAAAUAAAAUUACACUAAAUGUUUUUGCCCUUCUGAAGACAUUGGUUCAAGCUGGUAAGACUGUUAUUGGGUUAUUUUGAGUUUUAUCGCAAUAUUUCUUGGUUCUACUGUGUUAACCACAAAAAUUAUAAUAAAAAAACAUUUCUUUUUUAGGUA